AAGUCGUAACAAGGUUUCCGUAGGUGAACCUGCGGAAGGAUCAUUAACGUAUCUCAGGCGGCCGUCCGUGCGCCCUGCUCCGACCGAGAGGUCGUGCAGCGGGCACUCGGGCGACGCCGAACCUUCACAAACCCACCGUGCACCUUUGCGGGAGAGGCUCCCGGGCGAGAGCUCGGUCGGCCGAACCCGCUCCAAAACAAACGCUAGUUACGAGAAUGUGAUGCGGCCUUUGCGUCGCCUAAUGACAUGACAACUUUCAACAACGGAUCUCUUGGCUCUC
rnacentral:misc_RNA from 1 species